ACUGAUAAAACCGUCAAACCCCGAGUCGUCUUCUUAUGGAAUUUUAAAUGAACGAGCUCACCGAAAUGCAUCAUCACUGGUCCCCUUUUUGCAGAAGGCAACAAUUUAUGGAAAAGCAGCAGCGACGAUUUCAAAAUGGUCAAGUAAGUUUGGAUUAAUGGACCAACAAUGAGUCAAAAUAGUCCCUGCCUGUGGAACCAGCUUCCCCAGAGUGUCAGUGCCCCCUGUGACCGCUAUAAGCAUGCCUGCUGCAGCGCUGAUGGAAACGUCUAUAUCCUGGGAGGAAGAAACAAUAGCACUCUGAGGGACUUUUGGAGCUACAGUGUAGUGCGUAAUCAAUGGACAGAGUUGAGCUGCAUAGGAGAGACUGCACCAGAGGAAGUGGAGGAACAUUCCAUGGUCGUUCACAAGGGCUUUAUAUAUGUGUUUGGAGGCACACUUGAUUCAGCAUACGCCUCAUUGAGAUGUCCCCUCUGGGUGUUUGACAUUGCGAAGCGGAAAUGGAUGGACUGUCCGACUAAAGCAAUUAGCUCUCAGACUCCAAUACCGUCCAACAGAAAAAGCCAUAGUGCAGUGGUCGUAGGCUCAUCCAUGCUUGUGUAUGGUGGCUUCAUAGACAUAAAGGGAUCAUCUCAAGAAUUUUGGAGUUUGAAUCUUGUUUGAUGAUUGAUUGAACAUUGCCAAUCCCAAACACCGACCUCUUGCUGCUUCUCUUCAAGUCUGCAGUCUCUUCAAGCCAGUCCAAAGUGCUGGAAACCUACAGUACAUACCCGUCUAUCCUUCAUAUGUGUGGACAGUCGUGCAAGCUGCAGAACCCCCCCCCCCCAAAAAACAUGUUAUAACUUCUAUCCUAUUUGUAAAAGUACCUUAAUUUUCAGACUAUAAGGCGCACCUGACUAUAAGUCGCCACCCACCAAAUUAUACACGAAAAAGGCAUUUGUUCAUAGAUAAGCCGCAGCUGUCUUCAUUGUAUUAUGGGAUAUAUACACAAGAAGAUAUUAACUGGUAACACUUUAUUUAACAGCAGCGUCAUAAGAAUGUCAUGAGACCGUCAUAAUUAUGACAUGACACCGUCAGGAGCAAUAAUAAAUGCUUAUGACACAUGUCAUUUAGUGUCAUUUGGCAAAUUAUCUCACUUUUGAAUGGAUGUAAAAGAUCCGAGCUGGACAUAUGGAGUAAGUGACCAUAUUUUCUGGAUGACACUUAAUGAUCUUAAUCUGUCAUAAACAUUCAUCAAUGCCCAUGACAGUAUCAUGUGAAGGAAUCUGACCUUCUAGCCAGAUUGCCAGAACCACACCAGCCAAACCGCCGGACCCGUGCUUGCGCAGCUCCAACGAUUCGGGCCGGCGAGAUACCGACAACCUGGCCAAAAGGCCAAACUCCUCGCGUUCACCUUAGUCUUAACUAGGGAUGUCCCGAUCCAGGUUUUUGCACUUCCGGUCCGAUACCGAUAUUGUUUUGCGUUUCCGAUCCGAUACCGAUACUGGCCGAUACUGAUACCGGCCUAUCUGAGCAUGUGUUAAAGUUUAAAGUUAUUUAGCCUCCUUACUUAGUUGUCAGACUCAUGUUGAAAAGGGUUUUAGUACUCUUGAUAACAACUAGCCAGCUGAAUUAGGUGAGUUUGAAUAACACACAACGGUUGGUAACAAGAAAGUGACUCGUUUAUUCAGUGACAAACACAAAACAUUAUAAAUAACAAACAAAAAUGGCAUAGUCAGUCAGUAAAACGUGCAAAUAAUAUUGUUAACUGUCUUCAAAAAGCAAAACACACAAAUAACUUCAGUGGAAAAUCCCACAAACCCCCCAAGCUAUGUGAUGCUUUUAAUGUUUCGUGCGUUACAAUAAUUGUAUAAAAAGCCUCUCAGGUUUAAAUAAAUGAAUAUUUCAGUAUCAAGUUAACAUUUUAAAACAGUAAAUAAAAUACUCAAGUCCCCAUUCUGUAUCAGCAGCUUUAAACUACAUUCAAUUCAUUUAAUUUUGCGAAUCAACUGUUAAAGUUGUUAAAAUUGCUCCCGUUAUUCCAUAAUUUCCCUUCUGUCUACUUUUGACAUGUGAAAGCUUUAAAACUGCUUUGAAGAUAGAUUCAAGUCAAGAUUUUGCCGACUUAGGAGUAUUUUAGAUAAAAAGUUAAUUAGGUUCACUUGGAAGGUUCACAACAGCCUACUAGGGAAGUCUCCUGCAUUAAGAUGGCGACUGUUUACUAACGCAUCUAGUUGUCCAUACUUCAAUGUUGCUAACGCCGUCGAGUCUGUCAUUUUGCAUCUAGUUCUAUAUACAUAUGAUCUCUAUUAUCUAUAGUAAAACGAUGUUGAUGUAGUUUGUAGCGGCUGUCAGCAGCAGUCAGGUAUUCUUGUGUUUUUUAUCCAGCGGCAUGAGUUGAGCUAAAGCCGUGAGUCAAGCAUUGUCAUUACCCGGGUCUAUGACAAGCAUGCUCUCAUCAUACUCUUGGGACGCAAUGCGGUCCGUUUCUCAUUGCGUCCCGGAGACCGCGCUGUGUAUUAGUUCCACUUUACUUGACAUAUUUCAAUAAUCGGAAUCUCGAAUCUUCCAUGGCCGAAUCGCUCAAGGAUGUAAUGACGGCUGGGCAUGUUGUACCGUGGUUCUAAGUGUUGGAUGGUGCGUCUUUACUCACAAGAGAUAAUGGCUUGUCAUCCAGAAUGAAUUCUUCGGCAAUGACUCUUGUUAUUACCUGGGCUUUGGGACUGUCGAGUGCCAGUUUGUCACGCAUAGCAAGUUUCUGCCAGUGUCAGUUGCGUAGGACCUUUCUUUUUGUCUUCGGUUUUCUUAACAUACUUCUCAUAUUGUUUGUGGUGGUAUUUUGCUAAAUGCUUGAUUAGGUUGGUUGUAUUAAAACUUCUUACAGCUUCACCACCACGCUUGACUUUAUUGUGGCAUAUGUUGCACUCUGCCUCUUCGUCUUUGUCGUCCUUUAAGGUGAAAUUAUCCCACCCAGCUGACAUUUUUACCGAUAAAGUCUCUCGGUAAAUUGGGAGAAGGUAAUGUAGUGUCUUGAAGGUGUGCCGUAAAAUGCGGACCGGAUUUUAAGGAAACCAAAGCAAAAACUGGAAUGGAUUAUGUAAAUCGGUGCGGACCGGACUUUUAAUAAAACUGGAUCAGAAGUCUGGAUCGGAAUUUUUCCGUGUCGGCCGAUCCGAUACCGAUGCGCAUUUUUUUGCCCAUAUCGGCGUCCGAUCCAAUCCAAAUAUCGGAUCGGGACAUCUCUAGUCUUAACCCCUUGUACUGACUCCAUUUUGAAAGCUGGAAAAAGGCUUUGAAACACAAGUUGACAAUUUAUUCAGGUAGACAGCGAUCAAAUGGCUAGGAAAAACAGCAACAGACCCAGGCGAGGAGGCAGACUCGUUGCAGGGAUACCAUAUCACAAGUCAACAAAAGAGUCCCGAGAAAAAUGACAACGAUUAGUAUAACACUUACGGUAAUCUUUUUGAAGGCAGGCCAUGGGCAGAAAGAGGGGUGUUUUUGGGUCUUCUUCUGUUGUAAAUUUAGGUGGUCAAGUUUGUGUGUCACCGUUGCUGGGUCAUGGUUAAUGAGGCAACUGAAGUGGGAGGUUCUGCACGCCUCACCGUCUGAGAGGCACUGAGCUAUCAAACUUAGAGUUCUUUUUGUUAUCGGGUGUUGUGGUAAUACAGGACGUCCCGCCAUUUGUUCUGGACUGUCCUGAAGAGCUAAUUGCAGGAUUUGGUGUUGCAGACAUAGGCUUGUAGAUGUCUUGCCUAUCACCUGGUAGUCAGCGUUAAUUUUGCUCAGUCAGCUGCAUGUUGCAAGCGUUGGGCUUCCUUGGUCAAAUGGCGUCAUGUAUUUCUUAUGCCCUAUGUCAAAUAUAUUCUAGUUGUUUUCCUUAAACUGUGAUAUAAAUGCUAUUUAUUUUAUAUUUGGUACAUUAGAGUAAUACAAAAAAUAAAGUGUUACCUAUUAACCUAAAUAAAUCAACAAAUAAGCUGCACUGGAUUAUAAAUCGCAGGAUUCAAAAUGAGGGAAAAAAGUAGAGGUGCACGAUAAUUAUCGGUCCGAUAAUAGGAAUUAUGACGUCAUCCCACUAAAUCCGAUAACAAUAUGUUAUCAGCCCUAUUAGUAAUAUUUUUGGCACGGUGGCGGAUUGGGACGUGUGCGUUUGUUUCCACUCCUGUUUUGCCAGUAUUCAAAGUUUUGUUCUGUUCUAGAGGCCGUAUUUUACCUUCACUGAGUUAUAAACCUUACUAUGAAAAUUAGCAAAUAUUUGCAUUUUACAGUGUUAUGUUUACAAGUUUUUGAGUGGCCUUUUGAUUAUUGACAGGCUUGCUGUUCUACAGUAUAAUUGCCAGGUUAAGAAAGUUGUUUCAUGGCCCAAGACGACAAAAGGCUCCUUUCCUCUUGCACCAAAUGUUCUAUCUGUUGACAAAGCACAAUACCUGUUGGGUUUAUGUUUGUUUUAGAACAGUGCUCAUUGCUCAGGGGAACACAUCUUCAAUGAUACUGUGUGAUUGAAUGUAAUAGACUCAAAUUAUAUUUAUUUGAAAAAAACAAUAUGGGCACUUCAUUUGAAGUCAAAACUGUUCUUGUCUUUGUUUUGUCCAUUAUAAUAAUGUUCAUGUCAUCAUGAAAAUUCUGGUUCGGUCAAAGGCAAAUCUAUGCUGAAUCAACCACUAGUAUUUUUGACCUACAGGUGUUCAAAAACUAAGGCGAAUAUACAUUGAAAAAUUAUAUAUAUAUUAUCGGUUAUCGUAUCGGUAUCGGCCUUAAGGAGCAGGAAGUUAUCGAUAACGGUAUCGGUUUGGGAAAAAAAAUGUAUAUCGUGCACCCCUUGAAAAAAGUAGCGGCUUAUAGUCCGAAAAUUACGGUAAUAUAGUGUGUGUCUUACAGUACUCUGAUAAGAUGCCAUUGAGAACAUUUGGAAAGCUUCAACAUCAUAAUGAAUUCAAUACGAGAUAGGAAAAACAAACACAAAGUGGGAUAUUGUGAGUUUUGUGGCUCAUUGCAGAGAAUAUAAAGAAGGCUUGAUGAAUAUGCAACAGUCAAAUUGCAGCUAACACAGCCAUCAAUGGACGACACAAGCAGAAAGUGAGAGCGACAGAAGGCAAAGAAAAUAAUAACCUGAAAAAUAACUACAUUCAUUGGACCAUGACCAGUCUCCCAGUUCUUGUCCUGUGGCAAAGGUCUAGACCUAAAAAAAAAAACUGCUGCGACUAAGCAUCCAGUGCUUACGUAAACUUAAAGUAAUUGACUAUUUUUUGAGAUGACAGAGUGACUCGGUCUGAACUUACACCACGGUCUGCCAUUGUAAGUUUAGGGAUCUAAAAUCAUCAGAAUGUCCAGGAUCAUUGGGGACAAGACAUUAUGUAUAAGUAAAUAUGGUGAUGGAAGACUUGCAUGUACUGCAACUGGAGUUGGAGCAGGAAAAUGUAGAGAGAAGAAAGUGUAUGAUUCACUCCUUAAUGGGGACACGCCAAAAUGGAAAGAAUAAGAUUUGAUACCAUGGUCUGGUCGCUGCUCACUGAUUUACAGCAGAGGUCUCUUAGCCCAGGUCCAAGACAUAGUCACUCUGCAAUGCUCUACCAGAGCUGCAUGUACCUGUUUGGUGGCUUGAAGGGAUUAAAAGAGCAGAGAGAUUUCUGGAGGUGGAAUCCUGCAAGCUGUACAUGGAGUUUACUCAAAACCAAGUCUGGACCCUCAAAAUUGAUUGGUCACUCGGCUGUAGCCUACAAAGACAGCAUGCUUCUUUUUGGGGGAGGUGAAAGCCUUAACUAUCCAAUGGACUGUCUAUGGAGGUACAACUUCUCCACUCAGACAUGGUCACAAGUAGUCAAAAUGCCUGGAUCAAGUUCUCCAGAUAAGAUUCACCACUGUUGCAUCGGUCUGGGUCCGAACUACACAGCCGAUACAACCAGCAACUGUUCAGAAAGCUAUCCAAAGCAGCAAUCUGAUAAAUUUAGGCCUUUCAAAAACAAAUGUUUUCCUGCCCCACUCACAUUUCUGGGAUCAGAAGGCGCUAUUGAGCUGCAAACUUUUGCCUUGGAGAAGUGUCCCCUCAAAACGCGUGGCGAUGUCCCCGAACUGGACAAAAGUGACUUAUUGGAAAAAAAUGUGCAUCAUGUUUCAAGCUGUCUAACAUUUGAAAAUAAAUCAUUCAGUAAACAUUGGAGCUGCACAGAGGAGGAGUUGUUCGAAGAAGAAGAUCAAGAUAUAUUACAGCAUUUGCCUGACCUACUGCUGGUGAUAGGGGGCAGACCGUGUUCUGAAUUUAAGCCUAUCUCUGUUUGGCAAAUGACUCUGUCAGACUCUUGACAUCAUUUUAGAGGAUUUUAAAAAUAUAUACUCCACAGGACGCACAGUAAACAAUGUUGCUGCACCCAACUCAUUACCUGAGCAGUGUGCAAUGUGAAAGUUUUGAUAAGUUCUUCCAUAGGCAGUAAUUUGGCAACUGUUUUCAAAAUUUGAAACGGUGUCGCACCAAAAACACACUAGCCAAUCAAAAUGCACAAAUACUUCGACACACACACGCACACACUACAUUUCUGUGCUCACUCUUGCUGUACACAGGAAGCUGAUGAUGCGAUUUAUAAUUUCUUAGCUACGUACAGCAUCUGUGGAUGCAAUAUCUAAAAUUCUGGCCAAAAUGUAUGCUUAAGCCUAAUUACCUCGCCAGGUGCAUUUAGGUGAAUGGGAGUGUAUCCUACCUUCGAUAUUAUCCUCAUACAGUGGUACCUCGACAUUCAAUCCUUUCGACUUCCAAUGUAAAAUUUGACUCGUCAUUUGUCUCGACACAUGCUCGAAAUACGACGGAAUACAGCGGAUUUUCUCGUGAGAAAAUUCAACAUGGGUCCCAAGAAGGUUAGUGCAGGUGGUAAAAAAAGGAAAAAGGUGACGCUUAGCAUGGAAAUUACAAUAGAAAUGAUAUAGGCGUCAGUGAACUGGUUCGACAACACGGCCGGAACAUGUCUACGAUCUUUACGGUCCUCCUCCGACCUCAGAUCACCAGUCUUUAUAAGUUAAGGUGAUAUUAUUAUUAUUAUAACUUAGGCAAGGAAGUCGCCAGCUUUGUCAGGUUUUAAACCAUUUAUUUCAUAACUUGUGCAACACAACACGACAAUUGUCCGCAGUAGCCGACACCAACAACAUGAAAAGAGAGAGUAAAAACUCUUCCGCACCUCUCACUCUUGUCGACAGUCACAUGGUGUAUUCAGAAACAGCAUGCAAAACAAAACAAAAUUGUUAUUUGUUUUGCUAUGUGUAAUUGCUAUUUGUAAUUGUACCAGCAGUAGUUGUUAAGGAAUUAAAGUAGGUUUUUGGGCUGUGGAACGAAUUAAUCGAAUUAUAAUAUAUUCUUAUGGGAAAAUCCCACUCUACAUACGAUAGUUUCGACAAACUAGGUCUUGGAAUGAAUUAAAUUCGUAUGUAGAGGUACCACUCCCAUUCAUCUGGCCUAUGCCCAGGCUUGUCAAUUCAUUUGGUAGGGCAUCAAUUCAGUUGGUAGGGCAUCCAUUGAUCUAAUCUCUCAUCAAGUUGGGUUCAGAGUUCAGACACAUCGUGGAAUGUGCAGGAGGCCUAACAGUAUUAUGUAUAGCACUGUUACCUUUAAUGCUGAAAGAUGUAUUUGUUACACAAUGUUUUAUAUGCAGGUGCUUCUAAUAUAACAGUGUUGGCUAUUUUUCUCCAGUCAUUUCAGAAAUACAAAAUAUUGAAAUAUUGCUUUCAGUAAGAAAUACUGUAUGAUUAUGGUACAAAUCGUGGAAAAUUCAGUGUCUCAAAAAAGUUUAAUAGCAGAACUCAUAGUAAAAUGUAGCGGACUUCCUUGGCACUUUUAACGACACAAUCACAUUUACCCAUUCAAGCAUAAAUUUAUCCGCCAGUAUGCUGCCAUUAGUAUGGCAGCAAUGUAGGUUUUUAGGCAGCAAUCAGAAUCUUGACAUUUAUCUUUCAUUAUUUGACGAUCCGCACUACAAACUGUGCAACAGGAGCCCUUAGGUUUCUCAACUCUAAAGUAGUCCGCUUAAUACACUCAAAACAUAAGGUAUCCUUUGUCUUUAACUGUUGUUCAGUGUGAGUCUGAGCCAUACAAUAAUAGGGAAAAACUUCAAACCUAUGCAGUGUCACGUAAAUUUAGCUGAAGGAGCAAGCGGCGUUGACAAUGACGUCAAACAUCCUUUUUCAUUAUUCCUGUGUUUUAAUUUUCUGAGAUACUGAAUUUUUGGUUUUCCAUAAAGUAUAUAUGUAAGCUGUAAUCAUCAAAAUUACAAAAAUAUGAACUGGAAUUUUUUUCCAAUCAGGACUAUUUCUCUGUAAAAUAUGGUUCUGAAAGGUUUGAUGAAAAACAUUGCAUUGUUUUUUGUUUUUUUUGUCUUCAAAUAUGGCAUUUACAUAUGCAGGGAAUGAACACAAUCGCAAUAUUUUUAAGUAAUUGUAAUUAUGAAUGUUGUACAUGACUUUACACUUAAGAGCUACUAAAGGGAAUGUGUAUGCAAAUGUUUUAUUGACUGUGUCUAUCGAUGAAUUACUUUGUAUUCUGUGCUGCUCAAUUUAUUUUUGGUAACUUCCUCCACAGGAUGAGGAAAAGCUUCUUCCUAGACGUCUUUGGACAUCUUGCGUCGUCAUUGUCAGCCAAUGAGUUCAAUAAUUUAAUGGGUUGGCUAACAUAAUGGCCUUCCGAUGGAAACCUUAUUUUUGAUACAGUGGUGGAUGAAGUACUCACUUUUUUUUUUAACUUAAGCAAAAGUACAGAUACAGGUGCAAAAAAUUACUAAAGUAAAAGUACAAGUAUCUAAGAAAAGAUUUACACAAGUAAAAGUACAAAAGUACAUGCUUUACGUAAAAAGUAGCCCGUCUCAUCCGACCAUAGGACAUGGUUCCAGUAAUCCAUGUGCUUUGUUGACAUGUCUUCAGCAAACUGUUUGCGGGCUUUCUUUUGUACAGUCUUCAGAAGAGGCUUCUUCCUGGGGUGACAGCCAUGCACACCAAUUUGAUGUAGAGUACGGCGUAUGGUCUGAGCACUAACAGGCUGACCCUCCACCCCUUCAAUCUCUGCAGCAGUCCUGUAACGAGUCACAUGACAUUUUGGAGGGAAAAUGACAAGCAGUACUCAAUUUGGACAUUUAGGGAUGUACGUUUUUUCAAAGGGGUGUACUCACUUUUAUUGCCAGGGGUUUAGAUAUUAAUGACUAUAUUUUGAGGGGGGAAAUAAAUGAACUCUAUUAUAUCAGCUGCACACAGACUACUUUUCAUUGUGUCAAAGUGUCAUUUUGUCAGUGUUGUCCAGUGUUGGGAAUAACGCUGUUACAUAACUGCGUUAUUUUUUUCAGUAACAGGGUAAUCUAACAUUAUUUUUUCCGCUGUUACAACGCUGUUACCGUUACUGACGGUCAAAAGCGGUGCGUUACUUACUUGGAAUAAAUUAAAGAAACUACCAGCCGUAGCGAGUCUACUCUGCUCUGUUUAUUUGUCAUCCAAGACUUGGGGUGCGUUCAGGUUCAUGGCAAUCAAAAUAGUAAACACACAAAGCCUACCUUUGCAAGAAUAAUGGAGUUGCCGUUUGAUACGGUCAUAAUGUGCAGGUCCUGCACCCAUCCGCAGCAAAAUUGUUCGUAGCUUUGUAGCGAUUUGUAAUUUCGGAAU